UGGCUCAGAACGAACGCUGGCGGCGUGCUUAACACAUGCAAGUCGAGCGGAAAGGCCCUUCGGGGUACUCGAGCGGCGAACGGGUGAGUAACACGUGAGUAACCUGCCCCAGACUCUGGGAUAACCCCGGGAAACCGGAGCUAAUACCGGAUACGACGCGAAGAGGCAUCUCUAUCGCGUGGAAAGUUUUCGGUCUGGGAUGGACUCGCGGCCUAUCAGCUUGUUGGUGAGGUAACGGCUCACCAAGGCGACGGCGGGUAGCCGGCCUGAGAGGGCGACCGGCCACACUGGGACUGAGAUACGGCCCAGACGCCUACGGGAGGCAGCAGUGGG
rnacentral:rRNA from 1 species